rnacentral:rRNA from 1 species
AUUGAACGCUGGCGGCAGGCCUAACACAUGCAAGUCGAACGGUAACAGGAAACAGCUUGCUGUUUCGCUGACGAGUGGCGGACGGGUGAGUAAUGUCUGGGAAACUGCCUGAUGGAGGGGGAUAACUACUGGAAACGGUAGCUAAUACCGCAUAACGUCGCAAGACCAAAGAGGGGGACCUUCGGGCCUCUUGCCAUCGGAUGUGCCCAGAUGGGAUUAGCUAGUAGGUGGGGUAACGGCUCACCUAGGCGACGAUCCCUGACUGGUGUGAGAGGAUGACCAGCCCCACUGGAACGGAGACACGGUCCAGACUCCUACGGGAGGCAGCAGUGGGGAAUAUUGCACAAUGGGCGCAAGCCUGAUGCAGCCAUGCCGCGUGUAUGAAGAAGGCCUUCGGGUUGUAAAGUACUUUCAGCGGGGAGGAAGGGAGUAAAGUUAAUACCUUUGCUCAUUGACGUUACCCGCAGAAGAAGCACCGGCUAACUCCGUGCCAGCCGCCGCGGUAA